UCUCUCUCUCUCUCUCUCUCUCUCUCUGUGUGUGUGUGUGUGUGUGUGAGAGAGAGAGAGAGAGAGAGAGAGAGG